GUCAGGGUAGCUCAGUCGGUUAGAGCGUAGCACUCAUAACGCUAAGGUCGUGGGUUCGAAUCCCGCCCCUGACA
rnacentral:tRNA from 1 species